rnacentral:rRNA from 1 species
CACGAACGCUGGCGGCAGGCUUAACACAUGCAAGUCGAGCGCCCCGCAAGGGGAGCGGCAGACGGGUGAGUAACGCGUGGGAAUCUACCCAUCUCUACGGAAUAACGCAUGGAAACGUGUGCUAAUACCGUAUACGUCCUUCGGGAGAAAGAUUUAUCGGAGAUGGAUGAGCCCGCGUUGGAUUAGCUAGUUGGUGGGGUAAAGGCCUACCAAGGCGACGAUCCAUAGUUGGUCUGAGAAGAUGAUCAGCCACACUGGGACUGAGACACGGCCCAGACUCCUACGGGAGGCAGCAGUGGGGAAUAUUGGACAAUGGGCGCAAGCCUGAUCCAGCCAUGCCGCGUGAGUGAUGAAGGCCCUAGGGUUGUAAAGCUCUUUCACCGGUGAAGAUAAUGACGGUAACCGGAGAAGAAGCCCCGGCUAACUUCGUGCCAGCAGCCGCAGUAAUAC